rnacentral:tRNA from 1 species
GGGGUAUAGCUCAGCUGGUAGAGCGGCGGUCUCCAAAACCGUAGGCCCAGAGUUCGAUCCUUUGUGC